AUUGAACGCUGGCGGCAUGCUUUACACAUGCAAGUCGAACGGUAACAGGGAGCUUGCUCCGCUGACGAGUGGCGAACGGGUGAGUAAUGCGUCGGAACGUGCCGAGUAGUGGGGGAUAACGCAUCGAAAGGUGUGCUAAUACCGCAUACGUACUGAGGUAGAAAGUGGGGGACCUUCGGGCCUCACGCUAUUCGAGCGGCCGACGUCUGAUUAGCUAGUUGGUGAGGUAAAGGCUCACCAAGGCGACGAUCAGUAGCGGGUCUGAGAGGAUGAUCCGCCACACUGGGACUGAGACACGGCCCAGACUCCUACGGGAGGCAGCAGUGGGGAAUUUUGGACAAUGGGCGCAAGCCUGAUCCAGCCAUGCCGCGUGUCUGAAGAAGGCCUCGGUUGUAAGGA
rnacentral:rRNA from 1 species